GACGGAUAGCGAAUCCUUCAGAAGCAAUUUGGAUAGGCGAAUUUUGAGCAAUGUGUAGCAAGCAUUGGUAUGCUAGUUGCCUAGAACGAGGAAUCGGAGAAGAAGCAGUGUUUACUAAAGUGCUCAAGGUGUUGGGAGGUAAUAUUCUCCAAAGCUGCAUCCACAAAUUAUGAUCAGGCUGUAAAAGAGCAUGAGCAAAAGAAGACAUACCCGGUUCGUCCAUCAAAAAUCGUCUUGUCAACCAUCUUGGCACAUAACGAUUAGCUUCGUCCUCAAUGCCAUAUUUCUUGAUAAGUGCUUGAGUUACCACUGUGUUAGACAAAAAAACUCCGUAAAGAAGAAUAGAUGUAGCAUCGUUCGUCUUCAUUCUCUCGCGAACAGCGUCAAAUAGUUGAUGCUUCUCAUCCAACGAGUUAAUAGCGUCUGGAUGCAAUUCGCAGAGCCUGGGAAGGAACUUUAAUCCAAUAUGAUCCGUAUAAGAAUCCGCUGAACCUUUGUAGUCUUGAGCGAUCGUGUCCAAAUACUUUGUUUUUUCAGAACUUAUAUACUCGUAUGUAAAAGGAGCCUCUAACAUUAUCCCAAGGACAUCCACGA